ACGACACUUAAUAUGAAACGGAGGGAGUAACAAAUAUAAAAUUAAUUAAAGUGUAGUGAUAGUGCAAAGGGGUCAGUUUUUUUUUAUUCACCGGAUUCAGAUCACUCUUAAUACAAAGUUUUACUCUUUGAAGUAGAAUUUUCAAAGUUGAUUUCUCACAUCUAUAAACAAAUAUAAACCUAAAACCCUAAAUUUCAGGUCUAUCAAAAAAAAAGUACAACCAAAUGACCAAUCCUAUUAAAAUUAAGUAAAAUUCAAU
rnacentral:lncRNA from 1 species